rnacentral:rRNA from 1 species
ACUACCUGCUUCUCUGAUAUCAUUAGAGACCACUCCCUAGACUUUAUAGGCAUCCUAGAAACGAAGAAAGAUAGUUUUACUCCUAAAUAUCUUAGGAAGGUUGACCCCUUUGACAGAUUUAGUUGGAAUUGGAUUCCUUCCACUAGUAAGUCUGGUGGGAUCCUAUGUGGGAUCAAAAAGGAAACCUUGGAAAGUGUGUCUUGGGAGGCAGGUAAAUACAUGUUACAGGCCACGGUCUCUGACACCAAACUCAAGUGUAUUUGGACCCUUGUGGUGGUGUAUGGGGCAACUCAGGAGGAUAAGAGAGACGGGUUCCUAGAUGAGCUUGCCUCGGUGUGU